CGAGGCUGAGUAGAGUAGCUCUCGAGGUUAGGUUACGGGACAAGGUAAGACCAUGGGUUUUAAUGUGCCUGAGUGUCAGAACAUGAGUGCGCCUGUCAUCACAGAUGCUAAGUAUGUUUUGGAAGAGAAAAUGGAUGAGGGCAUCCCAGACCUUCCCAGUGAUCCACUGGAUAUCUACAGGAAGAAAACAUCCUUCAGCUGGAAGGAAAUGUUGCGGUUUCUGGAGGGUGAUGAAAUCAUUGCAUUCAAGACAUUUGGAUACUUUGCAUUGACAGAGCUGAACCAUGGCAGCAACACGAGAGCCCUGAGGACAACAGCCAGAUAUGACCCCAGCACUCAGGAGUUUGUGAUAAACUCCCCAGACUUUGAAGCAGCAAAGACGACCACUCAUUCAGUCAUAUUUGCACUGCUCUACACCCCUGAUGGGCAAUGCCACGGCCUUCACUCCUUUGUAGUCCAAGUUCAUUUGCUUGUCUUGUUAGAGCAGCUGGGAAUGAUUUGGUUUUAAUGUAAUUCAGUUUUUAGGUCAGGGGUUCAAAGACCUUGCUGGUAAUGCCAGGAGUGAUGGUCGGGGAUGUGGGAAAGAAACUGGGUGAGAACGGUCUGGAUAAUGGUUUUGCAGUGUUCCACAAUGUGAGGAUACCUCGAGAAAACCUGCUAAACAAAACAGGAGAUGUUACGCCUGACGGGCGCUAAGUUUCACCUUUUAAACAUGGCGUCUUGUUCCGUUCCUGGCAGCGGUGUACGCACUGGAGCUCUUCACCAGAUCCUUCUGCAUGAACUUUGUGGAAUUUCAAAUUGGACUCUUAAUGGAGGACAAAAGCGUCAGACAGGUAAAGGAAGGAUUGAAUCCCCUCUUGAGACUGUGAACUUUUUAGAGGACAUGAACAGCAUUCUGCAGAGCAAGUUCACAGUUGGCUCAGUGGAAGAGUGCAUGAACUCAGCCGUGCCUCUGGUAAGUGGGUGGUGUGUUUCGGGUGAGAGCCAUGGAAGCUGUUUCUUGAGAAAUCUUCUGGACUGGGAGUCUUUGAGGCACGGAACAACAGCCAACUGAAGGAUGAUGCUGUGGUGCUGGUUGAUGUGAUUGCUGCUCCUGACUUCAUCCUGAACUCGCCCAUUGGCAAAGCAGAUGGUGAGCUCUACAGAAACCUGUGAUCUACAGUUAUGCAGGGUAAGAACGUCCUGGAAAGGAGUUUUGUUCUGACAAACCUGGACUUGGAUCUCUCCGAGCCAAACUGAAAUCAGACUUUACAGCUGAUGAACUUGAAUGAAACCAUCUGAAAUGUGCAUUAAUCUUUAACAUCGAUGAGUUUACGUGUACAAAAUAUGUAUAGUAUUUCACCUACUAAAAAGUAUUAGGAUUUUACCAUGAUUUUCCAUGAAUACCAUCGUAUGUACCAUUUGAUAUGAAUAUAAUCAUUCAGUACUAUGAUAUAUAUCUAUGUACAGUCGUGGCCAAAAAUUUUGAGAAUUACAUAAAUAUUGGAAAUUGG